rnacentral:piRNA from 1 species
UGCCAAGUACACCUACGCUGUCUGCAGGGC